rnacentral:pre_miRNA from 1 species
AAUAAGUGCAGUUUUGCACUAUUCACGUUCAACGUUUGACCGUCCGUCUUAUUUGAAAUUUUNAAAUUUUUCAAAUAAGACGGACGGACAAACGUUGAACGUGAAUAGUGCAAAACUGCACUUAUU